UACGUAGGGUGCGAGCGUUGUCCGGAAUUAUUGGGCGUAAAGAGCUUGUAGGCGGUCUGUCGCGUCUGCUGUGAAAAUCCGGGGCUCAACCCCGGACUUGCAGUGGGUACGGGCAGACUAGAGUGUGGUAGGGGAGACUGGAAUUCCUGGUGUAGCGGUGAAAUGCGUAGAUAUCUGGAGGAACAUCUGUGGCGAAGGCGAAUCUCUGGCUCGUUUCUGACACUGAGACGCGAAAGCGUGGGGAGCAAACAGG
rnacentral:rRNA from 1 species